GGCGCUUCUUCGGCUGUCUGCAGGGACCAUAACGGGUUGUUCUUGGGUUCGUCAGCUAUGGUUUUUCCAGACAUCGCUGAUCCUGCAACUCUCGAAGCCCUUGCGUGUCGGGAGGCCCUAUCCCUUGCUUUAGAUCUAGCGGUGGACAGACUCGUUAUCGCAUCCGACUCCAGGGCAGUGGUGUCGGAGAUUCAAAGAGGCACUGAAGGAAGAUAUUCUGUAAUCAUCAAAGAGAUCAUUGCUAGGGCAAGAGAGUUUAAUAGUUGUGUUUUUGUUUUUGAGGGUCGAUCUAUGAACUCGGAUGCUCACAACUUAGUUAAGUUUUCUAGUUAUUUAGAGUCUGGUCGCCAUGUGUGGCUGGGGGUUCCUCAUGACCCCCUCAUUAUCCCUGUAAACCUUGCAACCAAGUAA
rnacentral:rRNA from 1 species